GUGGACCUCCGGAUCAGGGAGGAAUACCCCGCUGAACUUAAGCAUAUCAAUAAGCGGGAGG
rnacentral:rRNA from 1 species